GAUGAUGAUGGGGCCGAAUCCCUGAUCCGCCGGUCCAGUCACGAAGUUCAUGCGCGCAUGCGCACAAUCAUUAACUAACACAGGCGUACACAGCUAUCGUUUAGAAACCCUAUCGCAGGAGAGCGCUGCCGACCGCGACUGCACCGGCGAGCACCGAGGGAGAGGGCUCGAACCCCUCUUGGUGCUACUACCUUCCACUGCUACUGCCUAUACGCUAGAAUUGUAUCCCCCCUCCCCCCAUUCCCUGCAUCAGCCAUCUUGCUCUCGCUCUCUCCACACCUCUAUCACACUGUCCCACACCCACACAGACACACGCGCGCACACCACUAACUCUCUUUAUUAUCGUUCCUCCUCUCUCUCUUAAGCGUACGAGCACGACUUCACUAAGACGACGAUCACCGCCACCGCUGCUGCGUGCGCGCGUGCGUGUGUGUGUGUGUGUAUGCGUCUGAGCUUCUCUUCGUUUAUGUUUGUGCACUGUUCUCUCUCGCACACUUUCUCGCACUCCUAUUCGAGCUCGUGGCUGAGUGUCGCUGGACGCCCUUGUCUGAUUAUUCUCCAUCGCGAUCUCUCUCUCUCUCUCACUCUCACUCUCACUGAGGGCUCCGCGCAAGUGUGUGUGUUCUCUGUGUCUUCUUGUCCCUCCCCCUCUCUCCUUUCCAGUUCCCCCGGCAGCGUUGGCAGAGCGUCUCACGUCGACCACGCCAUCAGCCAACUCCCGUCCCGCUGCACGCCUCUCUUCCUCUUUUCCAUGCCUUUGAGCUCACUUCACAACAACAGCGUACGAACACAUGCCGCGACUUCAUCGACGGCAGACGCGUGGUGUGCGUACUUUGUGCGCCGCCGCGCCUCCUGCGCAUCCGUCUCGUGCUCUCGGCAAUGCCGGCGGCGCGGAAGUCAGCCGUCGCCGUGUUGCAGUUACACCCGAAAAUGCCCCUUCGUAUGGCUCUUCAUCGUUGUUGCAGUCGUCAUUGCAGUCGCUGUCGCCUCAGUCACCGUCGGCGGCGCCGGUAGGGUGGGUGCGGUUGUCUUGCAGACACCAAGGGAGACGCCUCAGGCAUCGAUGGACACUGCUCUGUGUCUCGUCCGCUCUCGUGGUGCUGGUCGCCCUGACACAGAUGCUUGCGAGACCGGCAAGUACAAGUACCAGCCACGGCUGCGGCAAGGAUAUCCUCUCCAGCGGUCUUCUCGGCCGGAUGGAAACCGCCACGGCUGUGAGUGCGCACUGGUUACGUGCGCAAGACAAACUCUCAGCACCCGUGCUGCCACAGUGUAAGGACUUUGCACCUAAUGUCUCCAGUGCAGGCGACGCGCUGUGGAAGGCAGAUAACGCAGAAGGGCAUCUCGCCGCAUGCCCUCCGCGAGACGAUGACGACGACGUGAGCGACGCCGACGCCGACGGGGUGGUGGAGCACAUGGAGGAGGUGGUCUGCGGCGGAUCAGAGGAACGGGGGGACCGCGGGCGCGGCCGUUACGAGGACGCUCGGCAAAUGGACGGCUGCACUCCCACCUUUGAUGGAUCGUGGACCCGCCUGCGCUCGCCUUCGUCAUCGUGGUGGUUUUCACACAGCAGAUCCUCCACUGGCCGUAACGCUGCGCCGCCAUCUGCAACGCGACGAAGCGCGUCAGGUACUUCCGGCGCCACUGCGUCCGCCUCAUCGGCUGCCGUGAACCCCGAAGUCGCACCGCAGAAUGAGGUCACCCUCAACCUUGCGGGUAACGUGCAAACCCGGUGGCGGGAGUACCGCUCCAGCUACCCGACGCUCCGUGAAAUCGUACACCAGCUUGCGCAGGCGUACAAGGAGGAGCAGCGGAUGAAGCACGCAUGCUUGUCCGCCAUGAAGGCCGCUGCGAUCGCGCGGUAUGGCGAAAGGACCAGUGACAACGGCACCAGCAGCUGCCGCUGCUGCGGAGGUGGAGAUGCACACUACGUUGUUAACAGGACCCGUAACGAUGCGUCACCGAAAGCAUCACCGGCGGCAGCCACGUGUGCCGCUCUCCCAACCCUUCGCACCUCUCUGGACUGGGUGCGGUACCUGCCCUACGUGCCCAUGCACCCCAUCGAAGAAGCGGUCGAGCACCUCGAGCACAAGCAGGACGACGACAUCCUCUUGGCUCUCUUCUACUCUCCCGACUUGUUCAACGCGUACAACUACGUGCAGUGGAUUGGCUUGAUGGUGAAGACGACCUGCUCGCUGCUGCGGGCUGGCGUGCUGGACCCGAUCACGCACAUCCGCGGCGACGACGACGUUGGCGGCGUCUUCUCCAGCUGGUUUCCGCCGAGUAAUUCUACGGGAGCUAUGAUGAAUAGCGGCAACCGCAGCAGCAGCAGCAGCUGUGGCGGUGCCCAUCACCGCUGCCAGCCUCCUCUCUUCUGCCGUGAUCUUGCGCUGCCAUCGUUGGAGGGCAUGCUUGGCCCGGCGGACAUCACGCACAUGCGUGACAACAAAGUUCGCGUCGCCAUCAUCGAUGGCUAUUAUCCUCUGCGGAACGUCACGCACACGGUGUGGCGGCACAUGGACCGCGGCACGUACCACGUGCACGAGCGGUACUGGGGGUUUGGGUCAAGCGACGGCGACGACAGCGACCACUAUGACGAGGCAGAUGCGACCGAAGCAGCGGAGACGGUGGAGGCGCCAACGGCGAACGGCGCCGGCAGCCUUGGCGUGACCCGCGAUGCAGAGGGGCAUGAGGAGCUGCAGGCACAUACGAGCGCGGCGGCGUUCACUGGCUCAUCUACAUCAACCUACUCGUCGACAUUCGACUCAACAUCGACCGCGCCAGACCCCGCGGCGGCGUUCCCCGCGGGUGACUGGGGUCUGACGUCUGUGCAGCACUGCAAUGCCCUUCUCCGUCUUCUCGCCCACGAAGGUGGCCGGCCGGACGACAUUCGUGAAGCACUGAGGUCGAUGUCGUCGCCAGCUCAACGUGGUGACGCCACUAGCAUGGCGGAGACCGCCGAGGACGAGGUUCACGACGCGCGAGCGCAGCGCGACCAAGGCCGCGGUGACAGUCUGCAGGACUGGAGAGAGCAGCGGCGAAACACUCAUCGGCCGCGCGCCCGUGAGGAUGCGACAGUGCAGACCGCAACGGUGACAGAGACGAAGGCAGGGAGUGGAGAGGUAAAGGAGUACACGGAUGCGGCGCGCAAGGCCUCCAUCACCGCCGCAGCCGCCGACACCUCCUCCACAGCUGCUUCGUCUUCGUCGCUUCACCCUUUCAUGAGCGCGGAGGAGGCACGCUUGUGUCCGAACGACCGCAUCCACUUGCUCGCUCGCUACAUCAUCGACGAAAGCAACACGUUUCCGCUCAACCGCCCCAGCGUCCUCCUCGACGCGCUGCAGAAUUCUCUUCACCGCGUGCGGCAUCGAAAGCAGCUUCUGGUGGAGCGGAUCUUCAGCUGGAGCCAGAGAAUGACGUACCGGCUUCACGUUAACGUGUCUGCGCAGCGCAUUGACGCGUUGUUCUCAGACCACCUGUGCGAUGUGCGCUAUCAGGCGAUGCCGCACACGAGUGGCGUUACUGCCCCCACCGCAGGAGGCGACAGCACCGAAGAGGAGUUGGAGGACGAGGAGGCGAUGGACAACGACGUUGUUGUCGAUGCUGCACUAGUGCAGAGUGGCUUGGGUGCCAGAACGAACUACUUCUAUCACCAGCGCCUGUGCAGCUUUCACACGUCGGCAGCGCUCGACUCUGCAUCGGCGCUGCAGUUCAGAAAGAGGAAGCGUAUGCAUCGCCGGAAUGGGCCCUCCGCCUCCAUGUCCCCGUUGACUGAAGCAAUGACUACGCUGUCGACGCCGAAGCAGCAGCAGCAGCAGCACACCGCACCGGCCUCGCCGCCACCUGCUGCUCUGUCGCUCACGCACGACAGUGCCGACGGGUUAUGCGAGCCGCUUGAUGUGCGUGUUGCAGACGCCUCUGUCGCAGCUACUUUGACGACUUUGGCGACGACAACUGCAAUGGCCUCAGGGGCGCAGGGCGACGGCGGCGACAGCCGAGGCGCAGAAAAUGUCAGCGACGACGCAGCUUCCGUGCAGGGGGAUGGAUCAGCGGGUGGUACUGGCGACGCGAGUGGGAGCGAAACCGGCACGCAGGGUCUUUCCGGCACGCCGGCGUGUCGCCACUACCUGCUGCGGAAAAGCCCGCCGGUGCUGCUCUUUCCACGCAAGCAGGGCAGCCGCCCGUACCUCUUUCCGCAGACGCUACUGCGCCUCACGCCCCUGAGUUUCCCAAAGUCGCGAGGGCAGCCGCCGCCGCACGAGCACGCGCGUCGUAUGCGGUCGCGGUGGGGCUGCAUGCCUGUCGUGAACUUGUCCACCACGGAGGGGGUUGCGGGAGAACCGUCGAUGCCUUAUGGCGGCGCCGCUGCCGAUGGCGGCGGGGAUGGCGACAGCGGAAACGUUCGUAGGGGGCCCAACGAUGCAUGGGCGGCGGCAGAAGGCGAAGGGAAGCCACAAGGCAGCUCGACACGCUCGGGCCCGCGUCCCCACAACGGAGAUGACGGCAGCAGCGUGGGCACCAGCGCAGCGCCUUCGUUGGCGUCAGAGGCAGCCUCGCCGACGCCGGCGACUUAUCGCGUGGUCAGCGUGCUUGACAACCCGUUCAGUCGCAUCGGGGUGGAGCAUCUGCACUACGACUUUCUGAUCAGCGGUCCGUCCUCGCCGAUGUCGACCGUGCAGCUGCUCGUGGAGGAGUCAAGGCGAGCGUCGACCCCAGGCGAGCUAGAGACUCGCACGCAUCGCGAGUCUGUCUACCGCCUGCAACGACGGCAGUGGAUGGAGGCGCGCGCGAAGGCGGCUGUGGUGGCUGCCGCGGCUAGCAGCAAUGUGGGGGUCGACAGCGAUGACGGUGUCGGGGGUGCUGGUAGCGCGGACACCGAUAGCCCAGCGGAGGCAGUGUCGCGGCAGCUCAGCAGCGAAACGGCUUCGUUCUUCUCGCAUCAAUACCCAACGCACGCGACCAGCACGUCAGGCGACCACGGCGAACCCUGCAACACCACCGACAGCCACCGAUCGCAUGACCGACUUCACCGCAGUCGCCAGCACCGCCUCGACAGCAGUGUCUGGACCCGUUCCGGGGUGGACGAGACCUUCUUUGAGCACGACGUCUCCUUCCGCCCUGACCCUGACCGGUUCAUUGAGAGCGCCCCGCUGACGCUGCAGUUUUUCCUGCGCACGCCAAUGCACAUCAUCGAGGAAUCGAUCAUCGAGCCGCUGCGGAAGCAGGUUAAGACACUGCGUCAGCGCUUGCUGGACGCGAUCGUGGAGGAGGCGCUCCGCUACGGACGCUGUGAAAUCAGCGGCCAGCGCUACAUGCAGCUGCUGGCCGACGGCAGCAAUCCCAUGUGCGCCAACGGCACGCGACAGCCGGCGCUGGAGAAUAGGGUGACGAAGCCCGUGGCUGAGUGCUCGGUGGAGGGGGUCUUGGAUGCGGUCACGGAGAGGAGUGCCUCGGGCGGGGUUCUGGGUGAUGAUGAGAUGUCUGCCAUUCCAUACGGGUACACGGACGACGGCAAGCCGCUCCUGCACUCGCUUCGCCACAGCGCCGCGCUGUCCGUAUGGCGCUUUACAGCGGACCUUCAGCGGCAGUUCUUGCAGGCCCUUCGCGGCAGCCGCGCCAGAACCUCGGCAUCCGCGUCGCACCCUCCAUCGAACGACGACGAGAUGCGUGAGCCCAUCCCACUUCCGCGUGAUCUCGCUUCUGUUGUGGAGCUGCUGCACCAGCCGCACGAUGUGCUCCAGAGUAGUUCUCCCCAGUUCCGGUCGUCGUCAUCGUCAUCCUGUUUUUCGAGGCUCUCAGCGUUGCGGGCCACCGAUGCCGCAGACCCCGCCACGGCGCCAACAAAUGACGCCAGAAGCACGAGGGCGGGCGAGAAAGACGGCGACGGCGACGACGACGCGGGCACGCCAUUCUUCCUCGCCCAUCUUUUCGGGUGGGAACAUGGCCCCAUGGACCUUGACACGUCCCACGGCAGGUUGGCGGCGAGGCAUCAGACGCUCCUCCAGCGUCGGCAACUGCAGGAGCGCCUGUCCAUGCUGCAGUUGGCGAUGCGCGCGCUUCUGGAGCGGUCGAGCCCGUGGUCGACGGACUCCUUCUUCCAGCUGAUCUCGGCCGAGCCGGGGGCGGCGCUGCUCGUGGAGACGUCGUCGACACGGCCACCCGAGUCCGCCACCACCACGACACCGGACGACGGCUCUGAACCGUCUCCGUCACCAUCAAAGCCACCAGAUUGCCUGGGGCAGUUCAACGCCACGUACCUCGCGGUCGCGUACCUCUUCUUCAACGGCACCGCCGAGGCGUACUUCCGCACCCAUUCCCUCAAUCAGCGUCGCAUGCACUUGCUGCAGCGGCUUGACGAGGCGGUGCGGCUCUCACUGAAGGCGCGCUUGAUCCUAUUAACGGCGACGGAGGAGGACUACCGGGCGCGCCACGUCGAGACCGCGAUUCAAGACGCGGCUCGACGUCACUGCAUCUUUCGGCGGGCUCGCUCCCCUCACGAGGAGAAGCAGCCCUCCCCGUCUUAGCAGAGCGGCGGUGUGUCAACGCGGGUGGUGGCAGUGCGCUGGAGAGCAUCGCGUCGUCGUUGGCGAUCAUCACCGGGGCGGGCGACGGCGAUGGCAGCGAUAGCGGAUCUGGUGCUGUGGACUCAGUCGCCGCGAGGCAGCGUUCUCGACCAUCCGCAGCCACACUGAGCACCGUGCGCGACACGGGCGAUGACGAGGCCAGCAUCUUCGAAAGGAAGGACAUGCACGGCCUCUUCGCCCGCCUCUCGUCGUUUUCUCUUCAUUGCCGACUAAGACCCCCGACACGAAUGACAGCGCCGCCAAUGUGGCGUAUAGGACGCCACUUCCUCAUUGAUUAUCGUCACUGGUGCCGGGGAGAGAGCGAGGGCCACAGGAGGGAUUCUGCUGCGCGAACCGCGGUGGCGCGCGACGAUGACAACGGUAUGGGCGGAGCUCAGCGCUACCACCUCGACAGCACCGCCUUGAUCUACGCCUCGACUGGGACCCCGAUCGCCAGCAACGGCCCGAACUACGAUCGUCUUAUCGGGCACUGCGUGCGUCGUCUGGCGAGGGUGGACGAGGAUUCGGAGAGAUGUGGCGUUUCUUGGGGCUUCCCCGACAGCGGCGCGAAGGCUGCCACCGCCGGUGACGGGAAGAAGGCGGAUGACGACGACACCGAGUCGCAUAGGCUGGAGGCACCGCCGCCGUCUGCGGUGAUCGCGGAUACAGACGUCACCAAGCGAAGCUUAUUCGAGAAAGAGAUACGGAGGGCGCCGACAUCGGCGACAGCGACGACGACAAGGAUGGAUAACGUAUGGCAGGUGGAAGCAAAAGGCGGCUCGGCCGGCGCACACCACUUCAUGGACGACAGCAGCGACAUUGAAGCAAGGGGCCUGCGACGACGUCGGCUUGCCGAGCACUACCGCCACGCCCCGAAGCUGAAGCAACGGCUUAUUCAUCAGCGACUGCGUUGGGUGGCUUCCCUUUGGGAUGACCAGCACCGUCGAUGGGCAUCGGCGCACGCAGAGCAAACCCACUCGCAGCGUGGCUGCGAGGCGGCGCAGCGGCAGCUGUGCUUCAUAGGCUUGUGUGUGUGUGUGAUAUAGUUUUCGGAUGCGAGUGUCGCUCAUGCGCCGUUUCUAUUCUCUCUCGCCUCCAUUCUCUUCGACGCUUGUGUCGUCGUUCUAUCGUGAGAUGCAUACAAAACAAG
rnacentral:misc_RNA from 1 species